AGACCGAUAGCGAACAAGUAGAGUGAUCGAAAGAUGAAAAGAACUUUGAAAAGAGAGUUAAACAGUACGUGAAAUUGUUGAAAGGGAAGCGCUUGUGACCAGACUUGGGCUUGGUUGAUCAUCCGGGGUUCUCCCCGGUGCACUCUUCCGGCCCAGGCCAGCAUCAGUUCGCCCUGGGGGACAAAGGCUUCGGGAACGUGGCUCUCUCCGGGGAGUGUUAUAGCCCGUUGCGUAAUACCCUGUGGCGGACUGAGGUUCGCGCAUUCGCAAGGAUGCUGGCGUAAUGGUCAUCAGUGACCCGUCUUGAAACACGGACCAAG
rnacentral:rRNA from 1 species